rnacentral:lncRNA from 1 species
UACCCAUUAAAUAAAGAUGUCCGAAACUCAGGGUCAAACCCUAGAAGAUCAAACACUCCCUUCCUCGUACCCCUGUCCCUCUCCGCUUCCACCACUGUUCUUCGCCGAAACCCUCGCCGGCGGGAAUCGUAAUUUACGCUGUUGGCCACCAGAAAAACACCAUAGAUGCACAUUCUUCUCCUCUGUCCAAGACCCAUAGUCACUCCCCUCGAAUCUUACCCCAAUCCCUCGAAUAUCACAUCUAAGAUUUUUCGGCCGUGACAUAAGUUAGGCCAAACAGUCCCAAAUUUAUACCAUAGAAUCGCCUUGGCCUUUUCUACACGACUCCUAGACCUUUGGUCUCGAAUAUGGCCGGAAUGACUUGAACAUAGGUUUGAAUAUUUUCCAGCGAAUCUGGAUUUCAUCAAAUUUUCACAAAUUGGUGCCAUGGGGUUAUCCUCAUCUUUCUCUCAAGGAUUUCAGUGUCAUAAAAGAUCAAUUGACUGCCGAGGUUAGACGGUCAUGUGGCCAAUGAAGUCGUGAGUCCUUUCCCUCUAUUUUUUUAUAUGAGUUUUUUUGUCAAUUAAGAACUUGAAUGAAUCCCUUUUAAUUUUCAAUUAGUUAUCGUUUAUUUCAGCAUUAACUUGCAUGUUUCUUUAGAUUAGUUUGAUUUUUAUUGAUUGUUGUUUUUUCUGUUUGUUAGUCUAAUUAGUUCAAUAACUUAAUGAUGAGUUUGAUCGAAAUUAGUUCAAGUCCUGAUGUUGUUUAAGAAACAGGGUUAAGACUUUUGUGUGAUAAUAAUGGUGUUAGGGUAAGUUUUUAGUUUAGUCAAUUCUAAUUAGUAAUGAAAGGUGUGGGUUAGUUAGAGUUGUCAAAUUCAGAUUGAAGGUAGGAAAUUUUAGGCAUUCGUGAAUUAGAUAUCAAUACUAGAAUUCCUUGGAACCUUCUAGAGAGGGGUGCAAGAAUAUUGAGGAAGUUUGAAGUACCUUCUUCCAUAACAAGUUAAAUUAAGGGGUAAAAAGUAAAUCGAGUGAGGGACUAAAGACAGAUUUGGAAACUUGUUUGUUUCCUAUAAAAGAGGUCAUAUUUGCUUUGCUCAGGGGUUCUCUCAUUCAGCCAAUAUUAGUCCCAAAAACACUAUUUACACUCUAAUUUUUAGAUCUGGCUUUUUCAGAUUUCUAGCCAUUUUUUAUUUCCAAAACCAAACUUUCUCUAGGAUCAGCUUAUUGUCAGAUCUGAAGUAAGAAACUAAAAUUCAAAAACUAAAAAAAAAACUCAUAAAAAUCCAAAAAUAUUGUAUUGUUUCAUUGCCUUUUUUAAAUCGUGUUGAAGUUCCUGCUGAAUUCUUCAGUUUCUCAUAUAGUUUCGAGUCUAUUAAACAUCACUUAGAGGUUUUGGUAACUGGUUUGUAGGUAUUUUGGUCUAUUUGAGUUGUUUUACACCUAAGUUCAGUUUUGAAGACAUUUGGGUACAUUGCGAGUCAUUGUGUUGUUAUUUGGGUUAUUUGUUGAGGAGUGUGUGAAGUUUGGGUUUCAAUUUCAAGAUUAGUUGGUUAUACACAUGUCUGUGGUUGACUCUUAUGAUUUUAUUGGAUUUCAAAUCUAUUAUGAACAUCAAAACCAAGUUGUUGGGCUGUUUGAUUGAAUUUACUAGCUGUUGUUGCCGAUUCCUUGCUUCUAUUCUUUCCUUGUAUUCCAGGUACACAUUUGUACUCUCCAUGGAUUGUGAAAUGAAAUGAAGCAUGAUACGAGCCUCUGUUGCUGCCUAAUUAUUAAUAGCUACAGUUUUUAGUUUCAGUCAGUUGAUUGUUGCCUAAUUGUCAUUGUCUCUUGUUUUGAGUUGUAGUGGACAAGGACUUGCUUAAUUAGAAUUAUUUUCAGCUAAUGUAAACUUCCUGAAAAUUGACUUUAUGCAUAAGUUGUUCAUGUGGUUGAUAAUUGAGUGCUAGUGCAUUUAGAUCCAUGUAUGCAAUCGAAACAGCAGGCUAUUAGAUGGAUAUUUAUCAUUCAGUCAUGUUAUUGUAUAAUCUCCAUUGGCAUAGUUUAUUUUCAAAAAAAUAGUACUGAACUGGGAAUAGGGAAGUGGAUUUGGGAGGACUAGAAAUGUGUAAUGAUAGUUAGAGUUUGAACUGUUAGUUGGAAAUUUAGUUGCUCAUGUAUGUCAUUGCUUUUGUUCCCUUAGAUAUCCAUUUCAAUGGUUCAAUAUUAUUGGUGUUAACUUGAAUCAGUCUCAAUUUGCCUUAGGCUUCCAUGCACACCUAAGAUUAAACUUAGUAAAAAUUGAACACCUCGAGUAGAAUAAAAAAUUCAAUCGAUCAAUACAUUUGUCAAUUAAUGUAAUAAAUGCCGUUUGCUUUAUAGAAUUUGAAUGACUUGAACAAUUCCAGCCUGUUUAAGACUGAACGGGAUUAUGCUAGACCCAGGUCUGACAUUGAAAUUCUAUUUCGUUUGGACCUGGGCAUGUUCUCAUCAUAUCUUGUUAUCACAUUGUGUUGAUUUUUCAUUACCCUUGGGCUUAUUCUUGAGCCUAAAGGCUUGUUUAGCUUAAAGUUGUUGUUUAGGCCAAUGGCAGAUUUGCCUCAGUCCAAUAAUAAUUUAUUUUGGAAUCAACUUGUUUUUCGAGACAAAAUAAUAAGAUUCUAUUUCGAGGCUUGUUGUUGUUAUUGUUGUUGUUGUUGUUGUUGUUGUGGUUGUUUUAUUCUUAGCCCCACAGUGGGUACCAAACUGUUUACCCUCAAAUUUGGAUAACAAUUAAAUUUAUAAGUGAUAGAUUGAAUUUUAAAUAAGCGAACAACAAUAAAGUAAAUUCAACCCGUAUGACUUGAAUAGUUAUAGCCUUGAAAAGUAAGUCUCACUCAAACUAGAUGCAAUUCAAAAGAUAUAAGAUACAGAAGAACAAUAGCUUGCAGAGAGAAAAUUAUAUUAUAAUGUAUUGGGAUGCAUGUAACAAUGUUUGUAAUAAAUUAUCAAACCCACUUUAUAUAGUAGAGGAGUCCUACUCUAGUUGCAUCAUUUUAUAUUAUAAAGGUGAAGACCCUAAGUCAAAGUUAAAAGACUAAAAUGGUCAUGUAAAAUUGAAUAACCAUUUUGCCCUUCAAUAAAAUACUAGUCCUCCUAUAAGCUAAUGUAUAAACUCAUCAAAAUAUUUAAUAAUAAAUAUGUCAUCAUCAAGAAUCAUAAAGAUAACAAAAUUAUCGUCUUAUAUUACCUAACAUUAUUAGAUGAUUUAUCUUAUAAUGUGAAUCAGAACAACAUGUUAAGUGAAUUAAAUUACAGUGCAAACAAACAAACACUGAUAUAAGUAUCUCAUCAAGUUCCUAGAGUUAUUAUAAGUUACUUUAGAUACAUAUCCACAAUCUUAGUAUUCACAUUAAAAUAUAGCAAAAAUCUUUUUUAAAGCAUCAUGUUUACCCAAAUCGAAAAGUAAGGAUUUGCAUGAAAUCAAAAAGAAAGUUUGGGACAGGGAGAUAGCACAAGCAAAAAGCUAGAGUAAGAAUGACGAGAGACCAUAUUUAAAAAAUAAAAAUAAUAACAAUGCGUUUUUAUGACGCCUAAAUUAGGUCUUCCAAACAAUAAAUUAUAAUUACACUAUUGACUGAAGCAAAAUAAUUCAAGAUGCUUAAUCAACCAUAUUUUAAUAGAGUGAUGAAAGGAAUAUAUCAAAAUUUUCUGUAUUGAUUAAUGAAUCCUUCAUUACAAGAAUGCCUAGAUUUAUAUAAGUAUAUACCUAAUAAAAGAGAGCUAGGAACGAAAAUAAAAAAUUAAAGAAUUCCAUAAAACCUGUACACUUGUCUUCUUUAUAUUAGAUUAAAACUAACAAACUAACCAACUAAUAUUCUCUACAAUCUCUGAUACGUGUGAGCCCAUCUACACAUAUGAGAAAUUUCUAGAACUGCUCCACUAUGGACGGUCCAGAUUUCAUCCUGAUUUAUUGACUUAAGGUUUCAUUUGUUUGCCAGAAAGGUGACACCUAUAAUCUCACAUCCGAGUUCCAAAUUAGGAGACUUUGUUAUUGAACAUUCUCUUUAGAAACGCAAGAGGUUUGAUAAAGUAUUCUUUGAGAAGUCAAGAAGGCAGACCAAUUUCAAAAGCAUUAUCAGUCCUUGGUUUUUGAACUUUUACACCAGAUUAUCUCUCAACUACUGUGAAAAAGUUUUUUAAUGCAUCAAAUUCAUUACUCUUGGUAAUAAAUAAGAAGGUCCAUGAACCUUUACUGUAGUCAUCCACUAUUGUCAAAAAAAUAUUUAAAAUUAUUAUAUGUAGGAACUUUGUAAGGUCCCCAUGUGUCCACAUGAAUUAACUUAAAUACUUUCUUUGAUUUGACUCGACUUAAUGUAAAAGAAUUUCUAGUUUGCCUAGCUUUAGUUCAAAUAUCACAGAGACCUUCAGAAUAAGGAGGAAAAGAGAUAAAACUGAAAUAUUUCAUAGAUUGAAAAGACAAAUGUCCCAAUCUAAAGUGCUAUAGAUUUAUAUUAUAAGUAGCAUUUGCAGAAAAAGGAAAAAGACCUGAAACUAGACUAGGAACAUUUUGAUUUGAAACUUGAACUACAUGUGUUUCAUAACUAUCUCUAAUAUUGACUGUAUUAGGAUCCAAUAAGUAUAAUUCUUCUUUGGCUUCACAAAAAAAUUGACCCCUCUUCAUUAAAGAGGCCUGAUAAUGAGAGAAUGCACUGAAACUGUGAAGAAAACCUAUCAACAGAUCGUACAUUGUAUUUGAAAGAAGGGACAUGAAGUAAAUUAUCUAAAAUAUAAUCAGAAAGAAUAGAGACUCUACCUAUGUAAGUGACUGCUACCCUAAUAGAAUUAGGGAGAUUAAUAUGUAAGGGAACGGGAAGAAGGGUUAGAGAAACAAAAGCAUUUGAGUCGCAACAUAUAUGUUCUGAAGCACCUGAAUCUAUUAUCAAUGUAUUUCAAUUAAAAAAUGAAAAACAUAUCCAAGAAUAUUUGAUUAUAGUACCAGCCACUACAUUAGUAUUAAUCUCUGAAUUUGAGAUUCAUGUGUCUCCAAUUUUGACAUGUUUGAUCAAUUGAACCAAUUGUGAAAACGGAUCUUUGGAAAAAUGCUCGUUUAGUUCUUCGGUACAGUUGUUUGUGUUAUCAUCUCCCUGUUCCCCUGAGAAUGCUCUGUUGCUUCUAACUGUGCCUUGUCCUAUUUUUCCAUUGGUAAAUUGAAAAUCUUCUGAAAAUCCUAUUAUCCCGUAGCAAUCUGCCAUUGUAUGGCCUGUCUUUUUGCAAUAGAUGCAUGAAACAUUAUGGUUAAAUUUUAUUUUCUUUACAAACGAUGGCUUCUAAGAUGGAUUACCAGACCUUUGAAAUCCAUUCCCGUACUUCUGGUUUUGACCUGUGAAUUUGUGUUUUCCAUUCAUUUGUGAAAAACUUGUUUGAUUUGCAAAACCACCCUAAAUGUUUGUUUGAUUUCCUACCAUGAAGGAUGAAGUCUCACUAGUGAUGAAUGAAUUAUUAUAAACCUCUUUUUGGUUUUCAUCCUGCAAAAUCGAUGAAUAGGCUUGAUCAAUGCUAGGCAGACGGCUUGCAUGAUAAUAUUUCCUCUAGCUUGACCAUAUGCCUUAUUUAAUCUCAUGAGAAACUGAAAGAGUCUCACAUCUUCUUGUGAUUUCUCAUUUGUUUUCUUUUUUUCAUAGACACAAUUGCAAGUGCACGUGAUGUUGGAGUUGAGUGAAUCUGGUUAUACCAUAAACGCUUGAAUUAGGUGAAAUAAGUUGCAAUGUCAUUUUUUCCUUGAGUUAAUAGGAAUAAGUUUCCUAUGCUUUGAGUAUAAAGUUCUUCAAAAUAGUCUCAAAAUGCUCACAGGUUGUGCGUGAUUGCAUGUUUGAUGGAUAAAGUAACAAAAUGUUAAAGAUCAGCUCAAAAAGGAGUGACACCUGCUCAAGUAUCA